rnacentral:rRNA from 1 species
GACGAACGCUGGCGGCGUGCUUAACACAUGCAAGUCGAACGAAGUGGCGAACGGGUGAGUAACGCGUAAUCAACCUGCCCUUCAGAGGGGGACAACAGUUGGAAACGACUGCUAAUACCGCAUACUGAAGGAGGGGAUUGCGUCUGAUUAGCUAGUUGGAGGGGUAACGGGCCACCAAGGCGAUGAUCAGUAGCCGGUCUGGAAGGAUGAACGGCCAAAAUUGGAAUGGAACAACGGCCAGACUCCUACGGGAGGCAGCAGUGGGGAAGCUUCCGCAAUGGACGAAAGUCUGACGGAGGAACGCCGCGGGAGUGAUGACAGCCUUCGGGUUGUAAAGCUCUGUUAAUCGGGACGCGGUACCGGAAUAGAAAGCCACGGCUAACUACGUGCCAGCAGCCGCGGUAAUUC